GAUAUGCGCCCUCCUUCAUUUCGAGUUGAUAAACAUUUAUUUUUCUUUGCAUGUCACCAAAUUCAAGGAAUAUUUGCUCCCCCUCUUUUUAAUUAAAUGCUGGAUCCGUCCCUAAUCCGGGAAGGAGGAAAUAGGUGUCGAGCUGAUAAAAGAAUUCUGUAGUUUGGUUUCAAUCAUUUCGGAGAGAAACAGUUGACGGCGAGAAGACUCCACUCUGUUUGAAAAAUCAUCACUUUAUCAGCACCAAAUAAUUGCGGUUAAGAGCGACCAGUCAAACUUGCUCGGAAAAGAUGAAGUUGACAAUUUGUUUCAUCAUAUCGGCGAUCUUUUUCACGCCAAUCCUCGGGUGGCCAUGGAUCACAGCGUUUCAUCAUUAUAUCCCCUACCGGGAAGGACCAGGUUCCCUAGUCACUCACCUUUCAAUCAAUUUUGACAAUUUCGGCUGUAACGUCCGUAACCUUCCUGAUAAAUCGCUAGAAGUUUUGUGGAGAUCGUUGUGGAAACGAGAUAUUCGCCUCGGAUCCUGGAAAAAGGAGCAUUCCAUGGUCUACUUCAGAGGAAAGACCUAUGAGUUCACUGCAGAUAAUGUGAGACAUUACGGAGGAGGAAUAGGGAGAUAUAACACCCUCAGCUGCCCAGUGAAACGGUCCAAUGCCGGACACAGCCUCUGCACAGCGAGUCAGGCGACAGCGCUGGCGGAGUCGUAUCAUAACACCCAUUCUUACAAUGUAUUGACAGACAACUGUCAUUGGUUCGCUGAGUGGCUAAUCAAUAGACUAUUGAACAAUGAAUGUAGAGUAUAGUGAGUGGCAUAUGAAAGAGAGUUCGUAUUAUGACUAUGAGAUUCCGUGGAAGAAGAGAAUAAUCGAAUAUAUUACCUGUAAGUGUAAACAGGUUAAUGUAAAAAAGCAAAGACGAACAAAGAUGGGAUCAAGAAUCCACAUAUAUUGAUUAGAAAUAAAACAUAACAAGUAAGUUUCCAAAUAAGGAAAAAGGAUAUAUAUAUAUAUAUAUUUUUUUUUAUAUAGGCCUACAUCUAUUUGAAAUAAUCUCUUAAGAAGAAAAAAGGAGCUUUUCAAUAAUCAAGUUAGCUUUAGUUUUGCUUUUUGCCCCGUCAAUUUUUUCGUUAUGUACCAUAACCGUCGUUCUUGUAUGAAAUGAAACGAUGGAAGAAAAAGAAACAACGACAACAACAGUAACGAAAGGAAAUAAGAGCCAAUAUGUUUGAGAAGGAAUUCGAAUAUAAAACUAUCAUUUUAGAGAAAUACUCCCUGAAAAGUACAUAAUAUGUUUAUUAUAUACGUCAGGCGAGGAUAUGACAUAACCAUUCGUUAUUCGUUUAAUUAGGACAGUAAAAAUACUAUGUACAUCUAUAUGCCUAUAUUCAAGCUUUGCAUUUAUUGAUAUAGAUUUCUCCAUACUGUAUGUUUUUUUGUAUAGAAGAGCAUCGUCUACUUGUAUCGUCUAAUCUUAGGAGAAUACAGUUUAUUUUAUAAUACAUUGAUAUGCAUCAAAUUCGUAUUUGUAUAAUUUUUUUCAUUCUAAUUUUUUAAUCACCAUGAUUCUUUUAUUAUAUUGUUACAUUUCUUGAAAGUGUCAAGAAUUAAAAAAAAAAAUACAUUAAACAAAUAUGUAUGUUUUGAUCUUAAUUGGACUUGAAAAUAAAUGCUACUUGAUACGUGAUAAACAUGUACUCGUAUAAAGUAGCACAUUGUUUUGUAAAGUUAGUGAGAAAAAACAUCAUAAUGAUUUUGUUAAUAGGCACCAAUAGCUUCAUAAUAAAUUACGUAAGCUUAACCGAAUCAACAUUCACUUUUGAAUAAGGUAACAGAUUAUUCUUAUGUCUCAUUUUCUGCUUUAUAUUACUAUUACCGCUUUUUUUUAAAUUUUCAAUGGUGUCAAGUAUUUUUACAUGUCAAGUUCAUGUGUAAACUUAACUUAAUAAUUUACAUUAGGCUAUGAUUACAUGUUUUUAAGUGUAAAAUUAAAAAAAAUGACCUUACUCAUCUUAUUGUUAAUAGCCCUAUAUUUUGUUAGCAUGUUUUAUCAUAAAAUAAAGGAUACGUAAUUGAAAUAUAAAAUGUAAUGUAAGAUUAAAAUAAAGCAUGAGUUUAAC